UUCCCCCUUAGGCGGAGAGAAGGAUACAGGGAAGCUUGGCAAAAAACAGAAUUAAAGGGAAUGGGUGUCGGAAGCCGAGGGUCUGAAGUUCACGACUCAUAGAAGGGGAGGGGAAUUGAAAGGCUCUCAGUGAAGAAGGUACAGUAAAUAAAUGUCCAGCGGCAUAGCGGGCUGGGAAGUUGAAUGAAAUGGCCUAAUCUAGGCCGGAGGUCGUAAGAGAGAAGGGAGGGGGGCGGGGGGUAAACAAUGAAUUGAUUCUCGGAGUAUUUCUUAAGGUCUUUUUUCCUGCCAUACUUCUCUCAUUCCUACCGCUAUUCCAAGCUACUGAGGCGCCUAAGUCCCCUUCUCUGCCUUAUUCCCCUUCUGUUUUGAGGGUCACUGAGGCGCCAUUUGUUUCCUAGUUCCUUGUACGUCUUUGCAGUUUACAGUACAAAUAACAGUACUUUGGAUGCGUGUAGAGUUGUAUAUGCAUGCAAAGGCUUUUAACUAGAUAUAAUUUACUUACGAUCCUCUCUUCAAAACUAAUAAUAGCUAUCAUUUAUUAAGUUCUUAAUAUAUUUCUGCCUCAAUCUUUACGUACACAUUAUAUUUGCUCUUCAUAAAAACCUUGUUAGAAAACAUGCCCAAAAGGAAGUGACUUCCUUAGGUUCACACAGCCAGCAAGCGACGGUUAGGCAUUCAGAUCUAGAUAUGUACCCAUAUUGCAGACGGGACAUAGCAGGAAAGUUUAGGCCAGUAUUAUAUAAAAUAAUAACUAACUUCCGGUUACUGUUGCUUUAUAGUUUACAUAAUACGUUCACAUAUAUCAUUUCAUUCUGGCACCAAUCCUGUAAUACGAUACCAGGUAUUGUCGACUCCAUUUACAGUUAUGGAAACAGACUAGGAAUUAAGUGACUCGUCCAAGGUCAAACCACCAGUGUAUCUCAGACCCAGAGAGUGUUUUUUGUACUAUUUUCUACAAAAGAAAAGAGCUGUUAAGCUCACACCUUUUGUUAGGCCUCUGGAUCUCUUAGGGGGAAGAAGUGAUAAGGAUGUUUACCCUUAAGGAGGCAACAGAGCUUUAUUUUAUUGUGUGCUUGGAAAUUGCCUCUUCAUGCACAACACAUUGAUAUGUUAAUUGAAAGCUAGUAUUGUUUUAAUUAUUAUUGUACAGUGAGCCCCUUUCACUUAUUCUGGAAAGUCUUGCUUUCUGAAACCUUAGAUAAGUGAACUAUCUCAAAAUUUCUGAAACGUCUGGGACAAAAUAGAUACAUCAGUGCAGUCCAUGAGGCCAUUUGAGUCUUCUGUAGCUGCCAAGGGAAUUGUUUACCUUACUAGGUUUUUUGGGUAAAUAGAAUUUGAUGCUUUGAAAUGAACCAUCUGUGAGACACUCCUAAGAGGUAUUAGUACUGACUUCCACCUUAAUUAUUGUCUACAGUUUUCUUCAAAAGAAAUGACAUGUUUGAAAGAGAAAUUAUUUAAACAUUAUUCUCUUAUCCAAUUCUCCUGGCCCACGGCACAAAUGAUGUUACUGUAAUACAAGAUAGGUAAUGUUACUUAUCUUGAAAGGGAUAAUUUUCAAUAAAGUUUUUUGGGGCGCCUGGGUGGCUCAAUCGGUUGGGCGUCCGACUUUGGCUCUGGUAAUGAUCUCAUGAUUCGUGGGUUCAAGCCCUGUGUCUGACUCUGUGCUGACAGCUCAGAGCCUGGAGCCUGCUUUGAAUUCUGUGUCUCCCUCUCUCUCUGCCCUUUCCCUACUCACACUCUCACUCUCUGUCUCUCAAAAUUAAAUAAACAUUGAAAAAAUAAUUUUUUUAAAUAAAGUUUUUCUUAAUUCAUGCAGGAAAAGUUGUUUAUUUCUAUUCUGACAAUAGUUUGGUGGUAACUACAUACAUGGUCUUGGAACUGGUUUUUAAUUGAGUGUUUUUAAGUUGAGAAAUUGAAUAUGCCUAGUAGGUGGAAAUUAUUGUCUACUGUUACUGAGAAGUUACACCUUCAGUGAAAUUUUAUUUUCGUCAUACAGAAUCCAAAGAAUUGAAUUAUGAAAGCCUCAAAACACAUGAAAAAUGACAGCAGUGUGCACAUGGGCAUGCACUUUUAUGUUUUGACAUCACCAAGCUAAAUUUUCUUUACUGAUAAUACAUAUGAAUAGUGAAAUAGAUUUUUUAAAUCGCAUUUGAAUAUGUCAUUCUAAAUCACACUUGACAAAAUAACCACUUCCCACCUUACUGAAAAAAAUGGGUAGCCUUUUGCUGGUUUGUCAAGCACAAUCCAUUUGACUCAUCCAAUGUUCAUUUCCCCAUGUGGAACUUUGAUUAGUUAGAAAUACUCUUCCAAAACUAAAUCUGACAUUUAAACCCAUUUGUAACUAUAGUUCUAAUUUUAAGAAUGAUACUUUUGAAAGGAAAAAAAUAAAAUACCCUGAUAUAAAGCACAGUUCAUAGGAGGAGGGAAAGGAGUUAAGUUUUCGAUCAAUUCUAGAAUUAAAUUGGGUCAUUUAACCUUCAAGUCACUUAAUGAGUCUGUAGAUGCAAAGUUCAGAAAGUAAGAAGGCUAACAAAUAAAGGGGCAUUAACCAUGCCACGUUCAAUAUGUGAAUUAUUUUUUUACAGGCAUUUAGAAGGCAUGGGUACCUGUAAAGUAAGAACGUUUUGUUAGGACAAAAUAUACAUGCUGUUUCUUAUAAGGCCGUAGGAGUGCAGCAAGCUUCUAACUUGCUUAUGUGAGAUAUACAUGCUUCCUUCCUCUUCUUCCCCAAAUCCAUGAUCUUAAUUGCCUAAUAACUUUUAAAAGAUCUUGAUGAGAUUUCUAAUAGUUUUUCUUUUUUUAAAGUUUAUUUAUUUUUGACAGAGAGAGAAUGUGGCAGGGGAGGGGCAGAGGGAGAGGGAGACAGAAUCUGAAGCAGACAGCAGAGAGCCUGAUGCAGGGCUCAUACUCAUACACCGUGAGAUCAUGACCUGAGCCAAAGUCAGAUGCUUAACCGACUGAGCCACCCAGGAGCCCCACUAAUAGUUCUUAUUCUCAUCUCAGUAUUCCCUACGGGAAAAUGAGCUGAGCCCCUAAUGUUAGCUGCUCUGAUAUAUACCUCUUCUAUCACCAUUACCCCAGCAUCACCUCUAUCUGAAUUGACAAAAUGCAGUUAAAACUGAAACCCUGGGGCGCCUGGGUGGCGCAGUCGGUUGAGCGUCCGACUUCAGCCAGGUCACGAUCUUGCGCUCCGUGAGUUCGAGCCCCGCGUCAGGCUCUGGGCUGAUGGCUCGGAGCCUGGAGCCUGUUUCCGAUUCUGUGUCUCCCUCUCUCUCUGCCCCUCCCCCGUUCAUGCUCUGUCUCUCUCUGUCCCAAAAAUAAAUAAACAUUGAAAAAAAAAACCAUAUAAAAAAAACAAAAAACUGAAACCCCCUUUUUCCCCGUAAAUUUCUAGUAUGGCACUUCUAAAAUUCCUGUAUUGCUUUUUUUUUUUUUCAAUGUGUAUUUAUUUUUGAGAAGGAGAGGUGGAGAGAGAGGAAGACAGGAUUCAAAGUGGGCCCUGCACUGACAACAGAGAGCCUGAUGCGGGGCUUGAACUCACAAACGGUGAGAUCGUGACCUGAGCCAACGUUGGACACUUAAUCAACUGAGCCACCCAGGCGCCCCUAAAAUUCCUAUAUUGCUUUUAAUAAACCUAGUAAAUGUAAAAGCAAGAGGCAUCCACUUAACAAGAGCUUAACCAUUAUUGUUUUUCUUUUAUAUUGGAAAAGGAAGGGAAUCAUAACUUUGGGAAUUGUUAUAAGUCAGCCACAUACUUUCUUAUAUGAAAUAUACAUCUGUACUAAGAGUUGACUGUGUUCCUCCAGAUCUCUACUCCAGAUAAUCAGACUUUGAGUCAUCAGCUUUUGUUGAAGCUGAGGGUGGAUAUGUGAGGGACUUAAUUACUGAAGUAGGUAUCGUGAGAACUUGAAAGGAUGCAGAAUGCCAUCCCUGAUGCCGAGGAACUCCAAGUCUAAUAGAAGAAAUAGGUUAAACUAAAUUGUUCAUAAAUAUAGGUAGAAUAAAGUAUGUAAUCAAUCAAAACAGUAUAAGAAAAUAAAUAUCACAAAUGCUAUGAAAAAUUGAGGGCUUGUUGUAGGGGGAGUGUUUUUCAGAAUAUUAUCUUAGUCUUUAAAACAGUCCUGUGAGAUAAGUUUAACUCUGGAAGGUUAACAUUAUCAUCAUCAUUAUUACCACCCAGCUAGCAAGUAGCAGAGCUGGGCCUCAAAUCAAGGUUUUCUUCCAUGUUUAGUACUCACUCUUUCCACUACAUCACAGCUGCUUGGUGAUUUGAGAGAGAAUUAGCCAAGAAGUGAGUGCAAACUGGUGGCCAGUGGCCAAACUUGGCUUACAUGUGUUUUUGUUUGGCCAGCAGCAGUUUAACUUUUUUUUUUUUUUUUUUUUAAUGUGAACAUCUUUGUGCAGUGGCCAGCAGUUCUCUCUCUAAGGUCAUAUACCAGGUCCCUUGAGACAUAUUACCUGCUUGGCUCCAGAAAGCAUUUGCGUUUUCUGUGUCAGGCAGUAACUGGCGACAGAGAGGAGAUAUUCUCAAAAGGCUCAUGAAAGGUAUGGUGGAAGAAGGACUUUGUGAACAAGAGUUGCAGAGAGUAUUUGCAGAAAGUAUUUGAAGAAGAAUGAUUGGCAGUAUUUCUUAUUAUAUAAAGGUGAAAGAGGUCAAGUAGAGUUAAAGGUUAUGCUUUAGCACUAUAGUUUUCAAACUUUAGUGAUCAUUAGAAUCGAAUGUAACAGUGGGUUGCUGGGCUCCACCCCAGAAUGAGUGCAUUUGGGAUGGAGCCUGAGAAUUUGCAUUUCUACCAAGUUCUUUGGUAUUGCUGAUACUGCUGGUCCAAGGAUCAUACAUGGGAAAUUAGUGUUUAUCAGACUGUGGGUCAUAUCUGGGGAAGGACUUAAAACCCAGACUUUGGUUUCUGUUGUUUUAAGUACAACAGGAAUAUACAUAGAAUGUUUAGAAAAUAAGUAAAAAAAUUAAAAUUAGUCUUAUCAAUUAGAAGGUUACAAUUAACAUUUUUAAUGGACUGUUCAAUUUCCUCUUUUCUAAAAGUAUUAGGAAACCAAAAUUGUAUCAUCAUUAUUAUCACCAUAAUAGUAGCUAUUAAAUUAACACUAAUUAGGGAUCUAUUAUGUGCCAGGGUCUUUGCAUAUAUUUACUUAAUCCUUAUAAUAUUUUUUGAGCCAGGUACUAUUAUUAUUAUUUUUAUUUUACAGAUGAGGACUGAGGCACAGAGAGGUUAUUUAAUUUGUUCAGUGUUUCAUUGCUAGUAAGUGGCAUACUUAGGAUUAAACCCAAGCAGUCUGGCUCCAGAGCCUGUAUGCUUAAUCAUUAUGUUUACUAUAAUGAGUCUUCUGUCAUACUGACCAUUAUGCUGUACUAGUGUGCUAAACUACUUUUAACCUGAAUUGUUUAAUCAAAUCAUGAACAAUUUUGAUAACAUUAAAUAUGCUUGUCCAACAUUUAAAAUGAAAGCCUACAUUUUUUUCUUUUAAAAUAUUUCAAACAUUUUAAGUGUACAGAAAAAUUAUAUAAAAAUACUCAUGCACUGACUACCAGGUUGAACAUAUGUUAAUAUUUCAGCAUAUUUGCUUUGAACCCCCCCUUUCAAAAAAGAAAAAAAAAUAUGUAAUUUAGUAAGACCAUGAUUUUAAGAUUUAAUUUUACUUAAAAUGGUGCCUUAUGAGUUAUAAAAGAAAUCACCCUUUCCCUUAAUAAAAGUAGGAUCCUGGGGUGCCUGGGUAGCUCAGUCGGUUAAGUGUCUGACGCUUGGUUUCAGCUCGGGUCAUGAUCUGAGCCCAUGGAUCUGUGCUGAUGGUUCAGCGCCUGGUUUAGAUUCUUUCUCUCCCCUCUCUCUCUCUCAAAAUAAAUAAAUAAACAUAAAAAAAAAAAUAGGACAUCCUUUAAACUUAUAAAGGAGGAAGAAUUUCUAUGUAGUAAACAACCUCGUAAUUACUAUUGUUAUGCCAUCCCAGUGAACACUUGUCCUCCUUCAACACUCUGGCCCAUACGUGGGCUUUUAAAAUUAUUUGGUGAUAAAGGUAAUAAACACAGAUAGUAACAUAAAACUAGGUAAUGUGACUUGUAUGGUUUACUCAGUUUUCAGGCUGCUUAGCCUACUUUCAUGUGGCAAAGGUCAGAUUCCACCUGGGUAACAACUGUGCGUUGCCAAAUAGAACUAUCUGCAAUGAUGGAAAAGUCCUGUGCCUGUCCUGUCCAAUAUGGCAGCCACUAGCGUAGCCCUUGAAAUGUGGCUAGUACAACUUAGGAACUGAAUUGGGUUUUUGUUGUUGUUGUUGUUGUUGUUGUUGUUGUUUUGCUUUUGAGAGAGAGAGCAUGCACAAGUGAGCAAGGGGCAGAGAAAAAGAAAAUCCCGGGGUGGGGGGGGGAGAGAGAGAGAGAGAGAGAGAGAGAGAGAGAGAGAGAACUUGGGCUCACCCAAUGUAGGGCUUAAGCUCACCUGCAGCGUGGGCACAUGCUCACCAGAUGUGGGGCUUGUGCUCACGAACCAUGAGAUCAUGACCUGAGCUGAAGUCAGAUGCUUAAUGACUGAGCCACCCAGGCGCCCAGAAACUGAAUUGUUAACUUUAUUCAAUUUUAAUUAAAUUUAAGUAGCCACAUGUGGUUAGUGGCUCUCAAUUGUCAGCACAGAUCUAGGUCCUUACAGCUCUAAGUCUUCAUUAAAAAUAAUGAUUCCCCAGAUUCCAGGGAGUUCCUGGUUCUGGUGCUGGGUCAAGAGAUGCAGACUGAAAAAGGGAACAAGGGAGCUUUUUUAGGAUGAUGGAAAUAUUCUUUAUUUUGAUCAUGGUGAUGAGGAUAUGGAUAUAUACAUUUGCCAAAACUCAUCCAACUGAAUUCUUAAAAGGGGUGCAUUUGUGUGUGUAAAUUAUACCUCAAUAAAGUUGAUUUUAAAAAGUAAAAGAAAAAAAAAGGGCCAAGUUCCAGGGACAGAAGUUCCACCUCUAGUCUAUCUAAAGCAUGCCCUCUGCAAUCCCAUUUUUUCCUUAGGAACCACCAAAGUCAUUACUACAACAUCAUAGGACCCUUUGUGAUCUGGCGCCUGGGUACUUCAGACAUUUCCUUGGCUGGAUGCUUUGGCACACUGACCACCUUGUUAGUCCUCAAACACUCCAAUACAUUUCUGUCUCAGGGCCUUUGCACUUGCUCUUCUUCUGAUUGGAAAAUUUUUCCCAGGUAAUCAUUUUAGGUGUCUGCUCAAAUGUCAGCUCCAGCAAGAUGCCAUUCCUGCCAACCUCUGUCCUUUUCACUCUCCAUUUCCUUAUCCUGCUCACUUUAUAGCACUAAUCACUAUCUGAAAUUAUAUAGUUACUUGUCUAUUGUCCUUCUUCCCCAUUAGACUGUAAGGCUGUUCAUAAGGGCAGGCAGUUUGUUGAUUGUUAGAUUCCCUGUGCCAGGCACACAGUAGCCUCAAUAAAUAUUGUUGAAUGAAUGAAUGGCUGUCAUCCAUGGUAGUGUUUCUCAGCCUGAGAUCGAAGCAUGCAUUCAUUGAAAAUCCACAAAUUCUCUAAAAACUUUUUAAAAUUUUUGUGUUGUAAUUUUGAUACUAAUCUAAAACAAUAUUUAUGAUUUCCUAAAUGAGCACCUUAAAACAUGAAGUUUUGAAUGCCUGAAUUCAUGUAGAGUUUAGGAUUUUGUUUGUAUCAGGUAAAAACCAAAGAACAUCAUGACAAAACGUAUAGAUAAAGAUUUCACGGUAAUUUUGAUAGAGUUAGGUCAUCACAUGUCACACAGUAGCCUAGACUUGCCAAACUCAAAAGAACUAGGCCUUUAACUGCCAGUGCUACAUUCAGUUAGAAACAGAAAUUGCACAAAGCAUGCAUGCAUGUGUGCACACACAAACACACACACUCUCAUAUAUUCUGAACUUAGUAACAUAAGUGAACUAGUAAAUACACUGUAAGGAAUUUUUUUUAUGUUUUUAUUUUAUUUUUGAGAGACAGAGUGAGAGUGGGGGAGGGGCAGAGAGAGAGGGAGACAAUCUGAAGCAGGCUCCAGGCUCUGAGCUAACAGCUCAGACUAACAGCUCUCCAGGCUCUGAGCUAACAGCUCCAUGACAUGGAGCUCAACCCCAUGGACUGCGAGAUCUUGACCUAAGCCAAAGUCGGACACCCAACCAAUUGAGCCACCCAGGCAGGAGCCCCUCUCACAGUAAGGAAUUGCUUUAUGGUUUCCAGCAAUACUCAGAUUUGAUACUACUUAACUAAGAUGUCAUAUUUAAAGGGGGGAUGCCUGAUUGGCUCAGUUGGUAGAGCAUGUGACUCUUGAUCUUGAGGUCCUGAGUUCACACCCCAUGUUGGGUAUAGAGCUUACUUAAAAAAAAGAGAAUGUCAAAUACUCAAAAAUACUAACCCAAUCUUAUGAGUGACCACUUUACAGUUAUCAGGUGAUCCUCAAAAUUGGCAUUCCAGGAUUUUGUAGCACUAGAAUUUUUAUUGAAAUAUGCGAUCUAAUCUUCUCAAACUAGCAGCAGGAAACCUGGAAGAUAUUAAUACAGUGUAUUUGUACAAACAGGUGUCAUUUGCAUUGACAUUAUUAAAGUAAACACACAGAGACACAUUUAAUAUAGAUGAGAAGUUGCAUCUUAAUCUUCGUAAGCCUAACAGCUUGCAAUUCAAACUAACAUUAAUUUUAAAUGGCUGGACCAAAUAACCAAUGUCUGUGGAGCAGGAGAAUACUUAUCACUGCAGUUUUAUUACUUUUCCUUCUUCCUUUUCUUUUCCCUUUACUUAGAACUCAAAGGGUACUUUGGGGGUAAAAGAAAGUAAAGUUCAAGGGUUUACUGAAAGAAACACUUUAUCCUCAUCCCGGUAACAUUCUUGAGUUUUUGUAGAAUGGCCUGAUCUCUCUGUCUGAACCUUCCGGCUCUAUCUCCUAAACACAGUCUAAUUCAGUUCCUUUCGUGGGUAUGACAUAAAGAGUCAGAAUAAGCAUUACAUUUUUUUAUAUGUAUAGUCUCAUAAGACAUAUGUGAAUGGGUAAGAGAAGAGCAAAAGUACAAGGUGACAUACUUUCUUAGUCCUUUAGAUUAUUUACAUAAAUCCUUGCAUAAUAUUCCAAUAUAUAAGUGUGUUAUAAUUAUGAUGUACAAGAAUAUAAAUCCAAGGCAGUCUGCAAGCAGGGAUUUUUAUUUAGGUGGACAGGAAAGUAUUGAAAAUUAUGUAUGCAUGUACUAAAUUAAAGCAUCAGCACUAGGUGUCAGCAGAUCACAACAUUGGAGAGUGCCUCAAUUUGGACAUUGGUAAAAUAGCAAUAAAUGGACAGAGUGUCUUUCAUGACACCUCUUGCCUAGCAUUUUCCCAUUCAUAUAUUAAUUUUCAGCCUGGCAUUUGCUAAGUGUGUCCACAAAUUCUAUGGACAUUAAUGGGUAUCAUGUUGAGGGGAGGCUUCUACAGUGAAGUAAGUUUAGUAAACAAUGAGUAAAUAAAGUUAGUUUUUCUAUUGAGGACUUUCAGAGCCUUUCUAUGCUGAUGAUACUGUGACUCCAGAGAAAAAGCAGUGAUGCCUCCAAAAUGUCUAGGGAGAGGAAGGGUUUAAUGGCAAGAGUCUGCUAGCAGCUUAAGAUAAUAGAAUGUAUUACAUUUUUCAUUUUGGACAUUAUUUUGUUUACAGUGUACAUUUUGGGGUAAUCUGGGUGUGCUGAUAGAGAUAACAGGGAUGUUAAUACCCUAAGCCACCCUGGCAGUAUUAUUGAUAUGUAGCAUUUCUGCACUUUGUUAGCCACAAAAACAUUUGAAUCUGUCAGAGGCACAUAUUUUUAGGAAAAACCAACACAGAGAAAUAGUGCCUCUCAUUAUGGCCUCUACUUUCAUCAGUAUGCUUAAAAAGGAGUUAAUGCUCUCCCAUAUUCUCUGGUAAUUACGGAGGUGUUUUCCAUUUAGUGUUUUAAUCCAGCUGACAUGUAUUUUUGCAUAGGAUGUGAGGGAAAGAUUCAAAUGAUUUUAUUUACUUAUUUUAUAUUGUAAAAUACCGGUUGUCCCAAAACCUUGCAUUAAAUAUGUUUUUGGUUUUGUUUUCAGGUCCAGAAUCCUCCAGAUCACUUUACCAAUAAGUUCAAUAUGUAAAACAGACCAAUGUGGUUGAAAUGGGAACGAAUGAGAAUUAUUCCAACUUGCCAGCAGUACUUACCCCCUUUUCCACCCUCCCCAAAGGGUGUACUUUGAAAACCAUUGGAAAAACUCACCCCCUCAUGAAUGGCUUGAAAUACCCCAUCUGUAACAUGCUACAUUAAAACGUUUGCCUAUCUCAGUUAUUUUUCUGCCAGUCUCAUACUUUAAUUUAUGGAGCCUAGGACCUUUAUAAUUUAACAAAAGAAAUUGAAACAUCUAAUAAAUAACAACAUGAGAUUUGGGGAGACCCAUAAAAUUAGGAUAUUUCUUUUAAAUGUCUGUUGUUGGCAAGAGUUGAUUAAGUCCCUUCAAUAUAUAUUUGAACUAAAAUUAUUUAUUUAAAAAUUUUUUUUAACGUUUAUUUAUUUUUG
rnacentral:lncRNA from 1 species